UACGGGGGAGCAAGCGUUGUUCGGAUUUACUGGGCGUAAAGGGCGCGUAGGCGGCGCAACAAGUCACUUGUGAAAUCUCCGGGCUUAACCCGGAGCGGCCAAGUGAUACUGUCGUGCUAGAGUGCGGAAGGGGCUACUGGAAUUCUCGGUGUAGCGGUGAAAUGCGUAGAUAUCGAGAGGAACACCUGCGGCGAAGGCGGGUAGCUGGGCCGACACUGACGCUGGAGGCGCGAAAGCCAGGGGAGCGAACGGG
rnacentral:rRNA from 1 species